UACGUAGGGUGCAAGCGUUAAUCGGAAUUACUGGGCGUAAAGCGUGCGCAGGCGGUUGUGCAAGACAGAUGUGAAAUCCCCGGGCUUAACCUGGGAAUUGCAUUUGUGACUGCACGGCUAGAGUGUGUCAGAGGGGGGUAGAAUUCCACAUGUAGCAGUGAAAUGCGUAGAUAUGUGGAGGAAUACCGAUGGCGAAGGCAGCCCCCUGGGAUAACACUGACGCUCAUGCACGAAAGCGUGGGGAGCAAACAGG
rnacentral:rRNA from 1 species